AGAGUUUGAUCCUGGCUCAGAUUGAACGCUGGCGGCAGGCCUAACACAUGCAAGUCGAGCGGUAGAGAGAAGCUUGCUUCUCUUGAGAGCGGCGGACGGGUGAGUAAUGCCUAGGAAUCUGCCUGGUAGUGGGGGAUAACGUUCGGAAACGGACGCUAAUACCGCAUACGUCCUACGGGAGAAAGCAGGGGACCUUCGGGCCUUGCGCUAUCAGAUGAGCCUAGGUCGGAUUAGCUAGUUGGUGAGGUAAUGGCUCACCAAGGCGACGAUCCGUAACUGGUCUGAGAGGAUGAUCAGUCAAACUGGAACUGAGACACGGUCCAGACUCCUACGGGAGGCAGCAGUGGGGAAUAUUGGACAAUGGGCGAAAGCCUGAUCCAGCCAUGCCGCGUGUGUGAAGAAGGUCUUCGGAUUGUAAAGCACUUUAAGUUGGGAGGAAGGGUACUUACCUAAUAC
rnacentral:rRNA from 1 species